UACGUAGGUGGCAAGCGUUGUCCGGAUUUAUUGGGUUUAAAGGGUGCGUAGGCGGCCCCGUAAGUCAGUGCUGAAAUAUCCCGGCUUAACCGGGAGGGUGGCAUUGAUACUGCGGGGCUUGAGUAGAGUUGAGGUUGGCGGAAUUGACGGUGUAGCGGUGAAAUGCUUAGAUAUCGUCAAGAACACCGAUAGUGUAGACAGCUAACUAAGCUCAAACUGACGCUGAGGCACGAAAGCGUGGGGAGCGAACAGG
rnacentral:rRNA from 1 species